UAAGGUUACAGGUGCCCUGAGGUUCAGGUAUGUCAGCAUGUGCUGCUAGAGAUACUCACUCCACUGACAUGCAUCCUCAUCACAAUGACACAGGAACCCCACUGGUAGCAACCGCACAAGCCCUGCCCAUAAUAAAGGCUCAGGCUUAUAUAUACACAUAUGUAAUGGCUUUGGGGAAUUAACCAAAAGAAUCCCAACUUUCAGGAAGGAACAGUGCACCUCAGAAUGGGUACUACCAGGAAAUGCCCAGGCAUCCUGGGGAAGAGGGAGCUCAAAGAACCCUACCUUGAGACAUCCUACAUAAAAACAAUCUCCCCUGGACCUGAGAAGGCAGGCAGAAAGAACUACGUGCAAAGAAAAUACAAGCCAGAUAGCCCGGGGGUAAUUCAGCCUGGUGGAUACAGGAAGUCUCCACCAUACACUGAAUAACAAAUAGAAAUGUAGAUACAUUUCUCUGAGAAGAACAUACUCAGCCUAACUCCAAACACCCUGUAUCUUCCCAGGAAAAUGGCUUUUGAUUUUUACUCAAGAGAAAGUUGUUAAUGCUGAUGAAGAGACAGAGCAAGUUCACAAUCUGCUGUUAAGGAAAAAAAAUAAAUAAAUACAUGGAUGGAAUGCCUGUCAACUAAAAUAGCUGUCAGAAACAUAACAGAAACCAAGAAAGGAAGAUGGUUGCUUUAGAUUAUAAUUCAGAACCUGAACGCAAGUUCUUUUAGUAGCACCAAUGACUAGU